rnacentral:lncRNA from 1 species
CUGGAGUUCAAAUCUUGGGUAAAGCAAUGGAUUGGUGCAGAGAGAAUCCCAAUGCCCACAGAAAGGUGCAGCUCACCAUGGACAAUCCUUCUCACUGAACUAAAAAGAGAUGCCAAACUGAUCUACUCAAGUCUCCCAUACUGAGAAUCUAGAUUGUGUCACGUUGGUAAUUAAAUCUAUUCAUCACUGUGGUAAGAUAAUAGAACAAUUUCAAAAGAUUUAGUGGAGAUGUAGUUGAAAUUCAAUGAAAGUUCAUUUUCUCUGAGUUUAUCUAUAAAUUGAGAACAUUGUAACCUAGACUGAAAACAUGUUGUAAGGAUUAUAGAGAAUCUAACAAACUAUUAAGAAUGUAAAUAUUUGCACUUGUUUUCUAGUUACUGAAGUCAAUCAUCUGUCUAUCCAUGAUUAUCAACA